CUCCUUUCCAAGGACAUGUAAAGAUGAUAAACUGAUGAAAUUAGAUCAACUGAUGAUAAUGGUAAUAGAAUAGAAAAUAAUAAUUAAUUAGUAAUUUCAACUAAAGAAUAAAAAAGAAAGAGAAUUAACCAAAUGUUAUGGUUUCUGUCUAUUUUCUAAUUAAUUGUGUUUUGGUCUUUCAUCGAUAAUCUUUAUUUCCAUUUGGUCAACAAUUAAUCUUCUUAACAAUUAGAUUGAAGUCUAAUUCUAUUAGCAUCUUAAUCGGUCAUUUUUUUGCUUCUGCUGAUUGUUGAAAGGUAAGUGGAACUCAAGGAUUUUCGCUUUGAAUCUCAGAUUUUAUCUUCUUGCCGAUUUCGUUGAGUGCCAGUCAAUAGAUUUUAAAUCUUAGAUGAAAUAGUUGCAUUUUCAUCUAAGUUGAAUCUAUCAUUUUAAUUAUUACCAAACAAAUUUAAUCAAUCGAGGCGAAAAUGGAUAAGAAUGGAAAAGAACAAAAAAAUCAAAGACCAGAAACAUCUGAAGGACGCAAAUUCGGUCAUUUAUCAACAUGUCCAACCUCAAGAAUUACAAACGAAACAAGAACUCGAGAUGAAUAUCGGAAUACAGGAUCAGAUUGGUUCGAUAAACAGAGAUCAAUGAAUCGAUGGUAA